rnacentral:misc_RNA from 1 species
CUGCCCCUCAAGCACGGCUUGUGUGUUGGGCCGUCGUCCCCCCUUCCCCGGGGGACGGGCCCGAAAGGCAGCGGCGGCGUCGCGUCCGGUCCUCGAGCGUAUGGGGCUCUGUCACCCGCUCUGGAGGCCUGGCCGGUGCCUGCCCACCCACCAAUCUUCUCUAA